CUAUGAACCUGCCCUGAAAGAACAUAGAAGCAGUGUUUGCCAACUAUAAUAGAAAAUCUCCUGCAGCUCAGAGCUCAGCAAGGUGGCCUCAACUGCAGUUGUUUCACCUUCCCGUUCCCUUUGUUUUUGAAAACAAGAAAGCUAAACCCAGCACUUUGUGUUUUCUGUUACGAAGCUUAUCCACAUAUGAAAGGUGCAGUAAGGACACCUUUCUCCACUGAAGGAAGCUGAAUCCUGGGAUGAAAAGCGAGCCAAAGAUCUGCUGAGAAAUGGGCCGAGCCACUGCUGACCUUUGCAAAUCCAAUUUCUUCAAAGUGAGAGCUAAUCGACGUGUUCCCACGCUGUGUAUUGCUGAAACGUACGAUGCAAUUCAAGGAAUUAAUUCACCAUGGUGCAAUCUCGUUUUGAAUCCAGUUUUCUUGCUAUGUGUCAGAGGGUGAAGGAGGCAGAGUGUGGUACAAGUUAUGAAGAGCAGUCGCACACAAGUUUCACAAACCAUGGCAUCCAGAAGAGCAGCCAAAGAAUCAGCAGGUGCUUUUGCAAGUGGUCACACCAAAAGAUUGACAAGCUAUGAACACAACAGCAAUUUAUUGACGUGCAAGGUGCAAAGCUCCUAAGUCAGUGGUGUGUAUUUUAUAUGGAAGAGCCAAACAGAAGUGUGGCAGAAGGUAAAGUCCAGUUGUUUCUUCUUCCUUGUUCCGUCUUUUAGCACUGCUUCACACUGAGGUAUGGAAAUUGUCUUGCACAGGAUUACGCAGACACAGGAAGGCACUCUGUACUUGAUCAAGGGCUGAAGCAAGCAAAACAAAACAAGUGUGAUGCUAAGAGCAAAACACAGCAGAAGAGACUUUGGGAGGAUCUCUAAAAAGUUUAAAUUAGUAAAACAUGUAUGUGGGUGGGACAGAAAGAGAAUAAAGCAUAAUUAAGUUACUGAAGCCUCCGGAGGACUCUGACAUUGUUCAGUGUGUGCUGCAGUUGGCUUUAAAGAAAUUUCAAGACUACCCACAUCCUUAGAAAGGGGACUUUUUUUGAAUGAGUGCAUGAAGUUUGUGCUUUCUUAGGCCAUGCAUCAUCCUGUUGCAGGGUACUGGGUGUAUUACAGGAAUGCACGAAGGCAAACACCCCACCUUCCACAAACUGGUGACAGAGCUGGGCAAUGCACAGCUGAAAGCCAGGGGAGAACUUCGCCAUCCUGCACUAAAAAGGGCACUGGGGCACAUCCCCUUCUCCAAACUGGGCUGAGAGCCAGACUCCUGUCUCUCUGCCUUGGUGGGGACAGCCCUCUGUGGGGGUCCCUGCCUGCACGCUAAUACCAGGAGAAGGGUGGAUGGAUGAGAGGCUAUAGCUUUUCCCUCUCUUCCUUUGAAGUAGUGGGUAGCAGAGAAAAGAGUGCCAGUCACAGAAAAGUAUUCUUACAGCUACUUACAGCAUUUCUAAUUGCUCUACAAUGUAGACAGUUUAGGUCUGAUGCCCCCAUACUGUGAGUGACCCAUACACUGCCCUCUUCCCCUCCAGCCAAACCCUGCUUGCCCUUCUCUUUCCCUGGAGCUUCCUGAGGGUGACCCUGAAUGACAACCACAGCAAAGGACAACAAGCCUGAGGCUGACAGAAGAGAACAUAAGGAAAAUCACCUUGAGAACAUUUGCUAGCAGCAGCCAUUCCAACUUCUCCUCCAAACUCCUACCUCAUUAGUCAUGGCAGCAGAUCAGAACUCUUGAGCUUGACCAUGUGAAUGCCACGGUGCGCACAGGGCAAUAUAGGAACAACACAUGUUAAGUGCCUUCAAGUCUGCGAACAGCUUUACGUAAAGAGCUGCAUUCAGUCUGAGGCAGGCCAGAGCAACCCAGGCAGAUCCAGCCUUUGUUGUUUAUCACUGAGCGAAUGGCAACCUGUUGAGUCAUCUUUCAACUCUGAUCUUUGCACGCAGAGUGGUCCAUGAACAGUGUGAAAUGAAGAUCAUUGCUUUCUCUGAGAAUCAACCUUCAAGUGCUGUGGUUUAAGACCACAGUUCUGCAAAGUGCUGAUUCACCAGUACCGAACAGUGGGAACUGGAAGAAUCACUGAAGAAAUGGGAAAGAAGGAAAAAAAAGGGUUGACUAUUGGAGUCCUUCAACCUGCUGCUUUGGAUUGUUAUUUAUUUCUCUGUUCUGAAGAUGAGAAGCAAUUGGGCUCUUUGGUUUUCACAGUAGGAGCACCACUAAAAUUGUAUUUCUUUUGCUUUCUUAGCAAAUGUUGAGAAACAUUUUGUACACAUGGCAACACAGACAACAGGGCAGAAUCUGUUGAUAGUCAUCACUUUCAUUCUCAGUCAGAGUUCUUUAUUUCUCAGCUUUGUGGCAGCCUCAAUGUAUCCUCCAUGGGGACCACAAUGAUAAUAUAAUUAUUGGUGUUUUCACCCAAGAAAUUUAGCGCCUUUUUUUGAGGUGGAACUGAAACUCUUGGUAAGUAGAAGCUGCCCAGCUAUCCAAGGACAAGAGUCAAAUUGCUCAAGCUGUUGGGCUUUACACAGCUGCAAGGAAGACCAGCUUCGGGGAAGGACAAUUAAAGUUAUUGUAUGACAAGUAA